UAACAAAUGUGGGAAAGUUUGGAACUUC
rnacentral:piRNA from 1 species